rnacentral:rRNA from 1 species
UACGUAGGGUGCAAGCGUUAAUCGGAAUUACUGGGCGUAAAGCGUGCGCAGGCGGUUUUGUAAGUCUGUCGUGAAAUCCCCGGGCUCAACCUGGGAAUUGCGAUGGAGACUGCAAGGCUAGAAUCUGGCAGAGGGGGGUAGAAUUCCACGUGUAGCAGUGAAAUGCGUAGAUAUCUGGAGGAACACCGGUGGCGAAGGCGGCGUUCUGGACUGCAACUGACACUGAUGAACGAAAGCCAGGGGAGCAAACGGG